GAUGAAGAACGUAGCGAAAUGCGAUAAGUAAUGUGAAUUGCAGAAUUCAGUGAAUCAUCGAAUCUUUGAACGCACAUUGCGCCCUCUGGUAUUCCGGGGGGCAUGCCUGUUCGAGCGUCAUUACAACCCUCAAGCUUUGCUUGGUAUUGGACAUUGCCAGUUUCUGGCAGGUCUUAAAAUCAGUGGCGGUGCCAUUUGGCUUCAAGCGUAGUAAUUCUUCUCGCUUUGGAGAUCCAAGUGGUUACUUGCCAAUAACCCCCAAUUUUUUCAGGUUGACCUCGGAUCAGGUAGGGAUACCCGCUGAACUUAAGCAUAACAAUAAGCGGAGGA
rnacentral:misc_RNA from 1 species